rnacentral:misc_RNA from 1 species
GGGCCACCCUUCAUUGCUUUGCUUCUCUCUGUUUGUAUAAAUAAAUAAGUGAUGAGAGUGAGGGGUAACUAAAAUGAAGAAAUUGUGCGAGCUGUGCGAGUGUGUGGCUACGGUGAUGUGCGAAUCGGACGCAGCCAGGUUGUGUUGGGGGUGCGAUUCCAAGGUCCAUGGCGCUAAUUUUCUAGUGGGGAAGCAUUUGAGGGCUUUGCUGUGCCAU